rnacentral:rRNA from 1 species
CUAACCAUGCAGUCGGACGGUAGCACAGAGGAGCUUGCUCCUCGGGUGACGAGUGGCGGACGGGUGAGUAAUGUCUGGGAAACUGCCCGAUGGAGGGGGAUAACUACUGGAAACGGUAGCUAAUACCGCAUAACGUCGCAAGACCAAAGUGGGGGACCUCCGGGCCUCACACCAUCGGAUGUGCCCAGAUGGGAUUAGCUUGUAGGCGGGGUAACGGCCCACCUAGGCGACGAUCCCUAGCUGGUCUGAGAGGAUGACCAGCCACACUGGAACUGAGACACGGUCCAGACUCCUACGGGAGGCAGCAGUGGGGAAUAUUGCACAAUGGGCGCAAGCCUGAUGCAGCCAUGCCGCGUGUAUGAAGAAGGCCUUCGGGUUGUAAAGUACUUUCAGCGGGGAGGAAGGUGUUGAGGUUAAUAACCUCAGCAAUUGACGUUACCCGCAGAAGAAGCACCGGCUAACUCCGUGCCAGCAGCCGCGGUAAUACGGAGGGUGCAAGCGUUAAUCGGAAUUACUGGGCGUAAAGCGCACGCAGGCGGUCUGUUAAGUCAGAUGUGAAAUCCCCGGGCUUAACCUGGGAACUGCAUUUGAAACUGGCAGGCUUGAGUCUCGUAGAGGGGGGUAGAAUUCCAGGUGUAGCGGUGAAAUGCGUAGAGAUCUGGAGGAAUACCGGUGGCGAAGGCGGCCCCCUGGACGAAGACUGACGCUCAGGUGCGAAAGCGUGGGGAGCAAACAGGAU